rnacentral:rRNA from 1 species
CCUACGGGAGGCUGCAGUGAGGAAUAUUGGUCAAUGGCCGUAAGGCUGAACCAGCCAAGUCGCGUGAAGGAAGAAGGAUCUAUGGUUUGUAAACUUCUUUUAUAGGGGAAUAAAGGUAUCCACGUGUGGAUAUUUGCAUGUACCCUAUGAAUAAGCAUCGGCUAACUCCGUGCCAGCAGCCGCGGUAAUACGGAGGAUGCGAGCGUUAUCCGGAUUUAUUGGGUUUAAAGGGUGCGUAGGUUGUUUUUUAAGUCAGCGGUGAAAGUUUGUGGCUCAACCAUAAAAUUGCAGUUGAAACUGGAAGACGUGAGUGUGUUUGAGGUAGGCGGAAUGCGUGGUGUAGCGGUGAAAUGCAUAGAUAUCACGCAGAACUCCGAUUGCGAAGGCAGCUUACUAGGCCAUAACUGACACUGAAGCACGAAAGCGUGGGGAUCAAACAGGAUUAGAUACCCGGGUAGUC